GGCUAAGUCUGCUUUCGGUUGUACAAAGAGCAUCAAUGUAUCAUCAUAAAAUCUUCUUGAGGAAGCCCUGGUGAUUAGAUUAUUAUUAGUACCUCUCAGUUCUCACCACCAGUUGAAGAAAUCUGCUCGAUUUAUUGGUAAGUAUAUUUCAAUUUCUCUUCUAUUUCACACACACUUGAUAUGUGCGCCUUUUAGAGUAUUUCAAUACGUAAUAGUUUUUCAAUUGAAAUGUGCUGGAAAUGCCACUAAAAUCAUGGCCAUUACAAUAAAAUUCCUGGAGACAGCAUUGUAUAGGAUUUCUAGAUUUCCUCUUUUUGUUGAACUACACAGUUUCUCGUUUUUCUUUAGUCUCCCAGUUAUGUUAUCCUUUUUAUUAUUUAUUAUUAUUUUUUUAUAUUUUAAGAAGUCAGGAAAAAAAAAAGAAAAAAAAAAAGACACUGCAUUUGCUUUCAACGAAGUAGAUGAAAGAUUGUCAUUUUCGUUGUUGUCUCCGUACAUUUGCUUUCUUGUUUCGCAUCUUUUGUCUUUCCCUCUCCUCCAUUCUUCUUUCCUCAAGAAUGCUUCAGUGCUGUUUCCUACAAUGAAAGUUGGAAAUUGUAAUUUCAAUAGAUAGGUUAAACGUUGUAUAAAAGAAGCACUUGCAUUGAUAAUUAUUAUUUCAUGACCAAACUGCAGUUACCAUUCAGCCAUAUGGGAAAGACAAUUCAGGUAUCUGGCUUCCCUUCUCUUGUUGCUGCCGAAACCAUUAAGACAUUCUUGGAGCGAUACACGGGUCCAGGAUCAGUAGUUGCCUUAGAUGUAAAUCAGUGCAAAGGAAAGCAUGGAAGAGCAUAUGCCAAAGUUCAAUUUGAGAAUAGCUCACACGCUGAUAAAAUUUUCAGUUUGGCAAGAGCACACCACCUAUAUUAUGAUACUUCUUAUUUGAAGGCUUGGGAGGAUAUUGACAUGAUGAAAAGUCCUAGGACGUACAUGCAUGGAAUGGAACGUGUAACUUUAAAUUUUGGAUGUCAGAUAUCGAGGGAGAAGUUUUCUGUGCUGUGGAAACGUUCAUAUACUUCCGUUAAAUAUGGGAUUGGUCUGAAGAAAAUGUUCUUCUUUUUCUCCUAUUAUUCUGUUCAAUACAAGCUUCAACUCUCGUACGAGAACAUAUGGCGGAUUGUUCUAUAUUGUCCACGAGGUCGAACUGCAAAGCUUCUCCUAAUACAGGUUUGUUUAUUGACUUUUAACAUCUCAAUGAUCCAUGUUUUUAUUUAUUUAUUUUUCCAUAUAUAAUGGUAUUCUUUUAGCAUAUUCGGUAAACAAUAAGCUUGACUAACAUGUUUAUGUGGAUAAUUGAAGCCAUGAUCUCAAACAUUUUAAGUCCUUGCAGGUUUUACUUUAACUUUCAUUUGUUGCACCUGUGCUUCCAAAACUUUCGAGUACUUGCGGUCGGAGAGUUUCCAUCAAUUUUUCAUUUGUUGACUAGAAAAUUAAGUCUCACCGCAUUUUAAAAUAAUUUUAAAAUGGUAAAAUAAUGACUUCCUAUUUAUAACAUUAAACAAUUAAAAUAAAUAAAUAACAAAAAAUUUAAAAUUUAAAAGAAAAGAAGAGGUUAUCUUCUUUAGCUACUCUAUCCACCCCCACCCUCGCCCAAAACCACAAAUCACCCCACCCGUUUCUCAGGAUUUAUCAAGUCUUGAAGAAAAUAUAACACAUAAGCAUUAGUGAUAUCUUCCAAAAUUUGAGAACACAAAGGGUAUGAAUAUGAUUGAAAGAAAAUUGGAUUGUUAUGUGGAAUUAAAGUUAAUUACAAUUGUUUUUCAAGUGUUUUGUAAUGAAUGUAAAUCACUUACAAAUUUAGAUUCCAUAAUCGAGUGUGUUAUACAUGUCUAUUUCUUUGAUUUCUAGGAAACAACUCAUCCUCUAAUUGUAAACACCCAACCUGAUGUAGAUUUACUUUUUCCCGUGCUAGAUAUCCAAUUAGUAUCUGUAAAUCCUUCUAAUGUAGCCGGGAAUCUAGUAUAUUAUAGACAUAAGUUUUUGAUUUCUUUAAGUAUCUAAGAACUCUUCCAACGACCUUUUAAUGUUCAUUGCUUGGAUUACUAUUAAACCUACUAAGUUUACUAAUUGCAUAUGCUAUAUUUGGUCUUGUGCAUUGAAUUGUAUAUAUUAGACCCCAUAUAACACUUGCAUGCUUUAAUUGAGCAACUGUCCUUCCAUCAUUCUUUAUAAGUUUUGAACUUUGAUCAAUAAGGAUACUAGAUUAUUUUAUGUUCAAAUGCUUGAACUUUUUUAUCACAUUCUCGAUAUAAUGUUAUUGACUUAAUUAUAACCCCCACUAAUUUUAGUAAUUCUGAUACUCAAAAUGGUAUCCACUUGUCCAAGAUCCUUUAUCUUGAAUGUGGAAGAUAAAAACCUCUUCAUAUCUUUUAUUUCAUUCAUGUGAUUAUUUAUAAUCAACAUACAAACAAAUAAAUAUCACAUAACCAUUGCAUAAGUUAGAAUACAAACAUUUAUCUAUAUUAUUAUGUUUAAAACCAAAUGAUAUGAUAGUUAAGUUAAAUUUUUCAUGCCACUUUUUAGGUGCUUGCUUCAAACCAUAUAAAGACUUUACCAACUUGCACACCUUGGCUUCAUUUUUUAGUAGGGUAAACCAUUUGGGUUGUUCCAUAUAAACCUCCUCAUCGAGAUCACCAUUAAGAAUGUCGUUUUAACAUCCAUUUGAUGAACAUGCAAGUCAUGUAUCAUAGCCAAUCCGAAUAAUAUCCUAAAUGAUGUUAUUCUAGCUACCGGUGUAUAAGUAUCAAAAUAGUGUAUUCCUUCAUUUUGUCGAUAACCUUUAACUACUAGUCUAGUCUUAAAGGUAUUAAGAGAACAAUCAACAUUAUACUUUCUCUUAAACUCCCAUUUAUAUCCAAUAGGUUUGGAUCUAGGUGGUAACUCGACAAGUUUCUAUAGCCUCUCUAUAAGUUUUAGGACUGGUGUCUACUUGUAGAACAAAAUGAAUUAUUCUUGCAACAUUUUUCUCACUUCCAUCUACUAAGUAGAAGGAAAUAUGUUUAGAGUCAAUUUCCAGUUCUAAAGACUUUUCAAUUAAAGUUCUUUUGUUUCUUCGAGGUUCGCUAGAUUCAUUAACAUAUUUAAGUGCUUGUUUGUGUCUCAUUAUUUGUGUGUAAUGUAUUAUGGAAUAGUGAUUAAUGUUGAAAUGUGUGGUUAAAAAAGAAAGGAAAGUUUUUUAUUUACGUGUAAUAUUAUUUUAAUGAAGAACGUGUGAUUGAAAAUGAGUACUGUAGAAAAAUAAUGUGGUAAAAUGUGGAAGAAAGGAAGACAAACAAAGCCUAAAAGAUGUUUCAUCUUGUGUUCCACCGGAACUUGGAAUUUUCUUAUGAAGUUCUCUUAAUUUAUUAUUAGGAGAUAGUGAAUUUUGAAAGAACUCUACGUCACUGGAUUCAAUAAUCACAUUGGUCUCCAAAUUUAACAAUCGAUAUGAUAUGUUAUUACUUGCAUAUCCAACAAAGACAUGUUUAAUGUCUCUUGGACCUAACUUGAUUUCGUUCAGGUUUGUAUUCUUAAAAUAACAAGACCUCAUACUUUGAAGUAUCCAAUAUUAGGUUUUCUUCUUUUUCAUAAUUCGUAAGGAGAAGCCUUUGUAAUUUUAGAAGGAAUUUUAUUUUGUAUUCUAUAUGCACUUAACAAUGCUUUACCCUAUAGGUUAAAUGGCAACUUAGCAUAAUUUAACAUGGCAUUUAUCGUUUAAACUAAAGUUCUAUUUUUCCUUCAACUAAAUCAUUUUGGUUGGGUGUCCUAAGUGCAGAAUAUUGAUGAAUAAAUAUCUUGUUGUUCACAAAAUAAGUUAAAAUCACUAGAAAAGUAUCACCUUCUCUAUCACUCUUACUUAGAUGAUUUUCAACUUCAUUUUUAUGUACCUUGAACAUGUCAAAUACAUCAUAUUUAUAUUUCAUCAAAUAAACAUAUGUAUAUCUAGAAUAGUCAUCUAUAAAGGUAAUAAAAUACCUAUUGUCAUCUUUAGUCAACAUGCUAUUUAAUUCAAAAUAUCCCUAUCAAUUAUUUCUUACUAGAAGUUCUUUUUACACUUUGAUAUGAUUUCUUAGUCAUUUUGGAUUCUGCACAUUUUUACAUUUAAAUGCAUGAUUCUCAUUAUAUGAUAUUAAAUCACAUCUCAACAUUCUUUUUAUAGUAUUUUUACCUAUGUGACUUAAUCUAGCAUGCAAAAAAUAAAUAAAUCAACAAUAUAAGCAAAAUCAAAUUUAUUAUUAUUCAACUUAUCAACGGUACAUAAUUUGACAAUUCCUUUAUAAGAACAGCCUUUACCAACAAAUUUCUCAUCUAGAGAUAAUACAAGUUUAUCGGAUUCAUAAACACAGAUUAUGCCCGAUUUACAUAAGAGAUUAUCGCUAACCAAAUCCCUAUUCAUGUCGAGAACAUGCAGCACAUUGGACGCGGUAACGAUCUUGCCGAAAGGGAAGAUAAUCUCUAUAUUUCCUUUCCCAACCACUUUGGAUCAAACUUAGUUACCCAUUUGAAUAUCUUGAUCUCUAUCCAAUUCACAUUAUGUUUUGAACAACAAUUUAUCAUAUUUUACGUGUACGGUCGCACUACUAACUAAGAACCUUUCCCUUGAUAGCAUUACUUUCGCUUACAAUGCAUGAUGUUAUCUUUCCUGAUGGAUUCCACUUUUCAUUCGAAGUUGUUUUUUUCGGUGUCUCUUUUCUACUGCAUUUGCCUUGGAAGUGCCUUCAUAAGAAUUAUCAUUCUUAUCUCUCACCCUUAACUUUUCCUCAAUUCAAAGAUGUUUCUACAAUUGUUCCAAGGAGUAAUUUUCGAAACAAUGCAUGAUCUUCUUCCAAUAUCCUUUCCAAAUCCAUGGGAGUUCUAUAAUAAUUGCUCCCACUUGGAAAGUUUUCGAGAUUUCAAUCUUGACUGCCUUUAACUUGUUGACAAGGCCUUGUAACUCGUGUACUUGGGGAAGAAGGGAAUGUUAUCAAGAGACUUAAAAUCAGAAUACUUUAAAAUAAAAAAUUUCUUACUACCUUCUUCUUCGACUUUGUACUUACUUUCCAAAGCAUUCCAUAUUUCUUUCAUCGAAGAUGUGUUGGUGUAGAGAUCAUAUAACCUGUCAAAAAGAGCAUUGAGAAUAUGGCUAUGACAUAUAAAGUUCAUCUUCUUGGCUCUUCUGUCUUUUGACUUUUAUGGCAUCCGUCUCUCCACUUGUUGGUUUUGGUAGCGGUGCCAAUUCUAGAUCAAGUAUGUAAAAUAUCUUCAACCCCAUUAGUAGAAAUUUCAAUUUGUCUCGCAAUUUCGUGAAGUUUGUGCUAUUAAAGUGAUCUAAUUGAACAAGAUCUUGAUUCAUCAAUUCGAUUGUCGCUAUAGUGGUUUCAUUCUCCAUUGUACAAAAAUUUCAUUUGAGAUUGAUGGAAAAUAUGGCUUUUCACAAAGGGGAGAAUGAAGAACAAUCAAAGAAUAAAACCAAAAUAAAAAAUGAAGAUAAAGAAGGUCUAAACAUGUAAUCGUUGUCUUCAAACGAAAUUUGCCCUCUCCAAAUAAAUUUGAUGCUUAUAGGGAUCUUCUCAAAUGGUUUGCAGGAUUUAUCAAGCCUUGAAGAAGAUAUAACUUAUAAGAAUUAGUGAUAUCUUCCAAAACUUAAGAACGCAAAGGGUAUGAAUAUGACUGAAAGAAAAUUGGAUUGUUAUGUGGAAUUAAAGUUUAUCACAAUUGUUUUUCAAGUGUUUUGUAAUGAAUGUCAAUCGCCUAUUUGAAGUAGUGCCAAAAUAGGGUUAAAAGUCACAAAAAUUCAAACAAUAAUUGCCAUGAAUGGCUAGUUUGUAACACUAUGUGCUCACAUAGGCCAAACCUAUGCAACCGCAUAGUUAAUUUCAUGGCAGGGCCUUUAAGCCUCGCAUAUAAGCAUGCGACCGCUGGUCGAAAUGGCCUAUGUGAUCGCAUAGUAAUAUAUUUCGAUUUGAUUUUUGAACAACAUACAACUUACCCCACCCCUUACAUUGAAGUUUUGGGAAUUUUUGGAGCAAGGGCGAUGGUUCUAGAGCGGAGGAUGUGGGUAGAAUGGGUUGAAAGGGUUAGUGUUAAACCAUUGGGAUUUGAUUCAUCUUUGAUGAUUAAGGAAUCUCGUUCUUCAUCUUUUGGAAUUGAUGUAUAAAUUGGUGAAGUUUAAUUUUGUUGGUGGCCAUGGUAGUGGUGAUGGCAGGCAUGGAUGGCUGACACUGGGUGGGUGAUGAUGGUGGUCGGCAGCUGGUGGGUGGCGAUGGUUUAGGUUUUAAGUGCAAGGGAUGGAGGUUAGAUAGAGGAUGGGGAAGGUGAUGAUUUAUUAUUAUUAUUUUUUUUGCUUUUUCUAGAUACUUUAAUUAUUUUAUACCGGGAAAAAUAUAAAAUUAUCAUUUUACCCUAUAAAAUUAAUUAAAAAUGUGAACAAAAUUAAUUUUUGAUCAACUAACAAAAAAUGGAUGAAAAGCCUCUGUUUGUCAUCCAGUCGCAAGCACUUAAAAGGUUUACAACCACUGAUGCAACAAAUGAAAGUUAAGGAAAUAGUUACCAAGAGUUGAAAAGUUUGGGAUCGUAGCCAUAAUUAUCCCCGUGUUUAUAAGAACAUUUCCAAACAUGUUUGGGAUUAAAAAUGCUCUCUCUUUUUCUUUUUAAAAAUAAAAUCACACGAGUGUUAAAAAUAAUCCUAUAUGAAUUGGAAAUAUUGGAGUGGAAGGGAAAGUUAGCAUGAUCGUGAUGCUAGGAUACUACCCUAUAACUUACCUACUAGACAACAAUAAUUAAGACCCCGUUUGAUAGCCAUAAAUUAGAAAAAUGUAUUUUUCCUAUCACAUCUACGUGGGGUUCGUGCAAUAUUUUAUUCUCCAAUUCAAAUUCAAACUUCACAAAAUCUCAAAUUUGCCCUUUAUGUCAUUAUUGGAUUGUUUCUUCAACCCAUUUUGUAUAUUCUGGCAGGCAAGAAUAUUGAGGAGAAGAAAUCAUUUUUCAUGGCACACAUUCCAAGAUACGUCAAAACCAACAAGCAAUAAAUUGGUAAAAGACAACCCAAACUUAAUCCACAUGACACCUUACCCAAUUAUUUUCCAAACAUUACCAUGGUUAUUUCUUUGUUUUGCACUUAGUUUUUUUUAAUCAUUACAAUUACGAGAAAAAGAGUAAAAUUGCACCAGGUGCAUCGAGCAGAUACCAUUAAUAUUAAACACUCGAUGCAUAUAACAAUUGUCGACCACAUUUGGAAUACUUCACAACUAGAUCCCAAUCACGACUGUUGGGCUAGGUAAUUACGCAGUUUGUCCCACUCGCUCCGCUGCAUCUCUGGUGCAUGCAUUUCGGCGUACAUCUCAUCUUCGGCACUAGGUAGCUUCACCUCGGCCUCGUCGUCAUCCUCCUCUGCUCUCCUAAAAUUCUCGUCCACUACUCCAUAUUUUCGUAGCAAAUUAUAUAUCUCCAUCGUGGCAACGCAACAGUAACUUGCAUCAGGUAAGGGUAGCUAGACAUACGGUCUAAGAUUUUUCACCUUUGUUUCUACACCCUGAACGCACGUUCGAUGAUGUUUCUGCAGGAUGAGUGUCUGAAGUUGAACUUCUCACGAGCAUUACGAAAGCAACGACGUAGUCCCGUUUGCUCGUACCGAAACUGUUGGAAGCGAUACAUGAUGUCCAACCUUUAGUACGAUGCUCUAUAUCCAGGUCGAUGCGCAAAUUCGGAGUCCACCAAGUAUUACUUGCCUAGGCCUGCAACAGAAAAUGGAUGUCCGACGAGUAAUAGCACAUGCGAGGAGUCCAGGAUCGUGGGUAUUUUCAGUGUGCCCUGUCAAGACAAAUAUGAAACAUAAAUUGAAAUCGCACGCAGCCGACACAUUCUACGUCGGCUCGCCGUUCUGGCCUAUGAAGUGCAUACGCUCUUGCCGCAGUAGUACUGCUUUGACAUGCAUUUCGUUAAUAGCUCCGAUAUAGUCUGCGAACAGUGAAUGCUUGUUCAAAUCAGGCUUGUGAGGGUCCAAACCUUCAUUGUAGUUCGGAUUCGAUCGAAUCAUACGUACAGACAGCGUAACCACCGCACAUAGAAUCUCUUUAACGUAGUGACACACGGUUCCUAACGAACGGUUGAACAACAUUGUCACUUGCCGAUAUCCCUUUCCGUGAGCGAGUAUGCACAAAAAUAUGCCAACUUGUUCGUAGAUGUCAACCUGUUGACUUCUUCGCAGGUCAUGCUCGUCGAGCAAUACAUGUGCGAAAUGUCGCAGCAUUGGGGGAUACAUAUGAAAUUCUUGAAAGCACAUUUGGCCAUUCUCGCUCAUUGCCUCCAUCAUGAACGUGUGACCAUUUUUUGUGAAUGAAAAUCAAUGGACACGACGAUGCUAUCGCUAAAAGUAUUGAUGUGCUUCGCUCUUCACGAUUCUGUAAUACGUAACCCAUGCCAUUGCAUCGGCUGCCAACUAGUUCAGGAAUUUCCAUUUGUCCAUAUCUUCAUUGUCGUCGGAUCUCGGUAGUAGAAUGCAGUUUAAGUUAAGACCAUCUGUGUUACCAAACAUUUGGACUGUUUAGAAUAUGACGACCUCUGUUUGUUAAAAGUCGACAAAUAAUUCUUAAACGUCACAGCCUCACAACGCUCACACUUAUGCUCCCUGCCUUUCUUCAUAGGAAUUUAUGUAGCUUCGACAUGCAUGGAUACCACAGUACAUGCACUUAUUCUCUGGUGCUUGCAAGCUUUGAAAUCUGUGGCCUCACAUAGGCUGUCUUUCACUAAAACUUUUUUUUUUUGAAAGUGACGUGAUAACUUGAGGAACUUUGAAAAAAUGUGAACGUGACAAACUUGUCCUCCUCAUUAUGUUCGGGCCUACGAUUGCCUAUAACUGAGCAUGAAAAUGUUGUACGCUAUACAGACAAUAAUUGAGUACAAUACGUGAGAACGUUUAUAAUAGCAUAGGAAAAAGUAAAACACAUAAAUUACAACUCUGAGACGAUAGUGCAGAAAAAAGAAGACAGUUUUCACCUUGAUUUUUAACAAAAGAAAAAAAGGGCAACUGGCAUAAUUACUUCCCUCGAUCGUUAAACAUCCACUCGAUCCACUCAGAUUUCUCAUCUGCGUCCCUCAUGAAAUUGAGCAUGUCCUGAUAAUGCUUCUGUACAAGAAGUGUGCAGGCAAAAAGGUACAUGGGAGUUCGCCGCUCGAGUUGUCCUGUCGCCAUCAGCUCUUCAACACAGGCAGUGCUAGCGCUUUCACUUGUGGCCAUCAUCAUUUUAAUCUUCAUUGCCACUUCCUUCACGGCACUCAUGGCACGGUCAAUUGAGAAACAAAGUUCACGGGCAGACAUUUUUUUCUUUCGACCACAUUGCUGUUCGUCAAAAGAUUUUCAUUUACUGUUGCUUGUUGUGGUGGAAAUGUUCGUGCGUACCCCGACAUGUAUUGGUUUGCCCUCAUCGCUUGAACCACUACUCUCGACGUCGACCGGGAUAGCGUCCCUAUUAUCUUCUAGCGCACUGUCUUCGUACAGGCUGAAUCCCAUUCUGCAUAAUUUAGUGGGAGUGAUUGGCGUACUUGUCUUCGUCGUAGCUAUUUUCAAAUAGCUGACGAUAGCUAAUGUAGAUCUCAUUCACGUCCUUGUCCUUGAAGUCUUCGUACUCCUUAUUCUCCUGCAAAACACGGGUUGAGGGGUUAGAGUAUCAGUAUGCAUUGGAAUUUGAAAUGCGUAAAUACAGAUAAAAAUGCAAGAUACGAGAAUACGCAACAAAAUAUGAGUGAUACACUCGGUGCCACACUUGUGCUUCAACAGGAGAAUUGAAACAAGCUUACCGAGCUCCAAACAAAUUUGACAAAUUUUUCGUUUGCAUUUCCAUAUUUUCGAAAAUUAGUGUGUAGGUUGAUGCAUAAUAUCAUAUUCGACUGGUCAAUAAAUAACAAAGACUAUUCUCAUUAUGUUUAAGCUUAUACAGUAUUGAAUAACGAAUUUUCACCAAAUUGCUCAGACAUGGACACGAAAACCACAUUAUCGGCCAUUUUCCUAAAAAAAUUGAUGAUAGCAAUUGUAUGAAAUCCAUAAUUGAUAACAGCAAUCGAAAAAAUUAUUAUAUAACAAUGACGUUAUUCAAUUUGAUCACAUUGGCUGCGUGUCACAUUCCAACGCAUCAAGCAUACAAUCGAAAAGUGUAUGAAGUCCAUGUUCUGUGAGGAAGGAAAAAGCCACUAAUUAAGAGAUACCAAUUACCAACCCAUUACCAUUUUGUAGUGUAUUCCAUUCGAAAGUUGAAAACAAUACAUCAUCUAUGCACAUUUAUUGGUAAUUAUUCAUUACAGUAGCUAAUUGCUCAAUUCGUCUUGAUCGAUUCUAGGUGGUUCCAGUUAAUGAAGGAAAACGGUAAAUUUUGUUGUUCGCAGCAGUUUGGUAGUAAAGUGAAAUGGCUGAAUUUAAAUAGUUCUUCAUGAAUUGGAGGAUAGGCCGAAACAGCGAAGGUGUGAGACGUUACCUUAAGCUUUUGGCUCCACCAUUCGUCCGACGCGACAAUGCGAUCGGUGGCUGCAUCGUACUCCACCCACCAUUAUUCACGAGCUUCGACAGUCAUUUGUGGGUUCGACGCUUUCCGUCCCAAUUGUUUCACAAUUGUGGUUGGUGACGGAGUUGAAGAGGGCGAACACGCAUUCCCAGUCGUGUUUGGUGAAACACUGGCCAUUCGGUGUCCCUUAGCUAUGGUAGUUUCAUAGGUAGCCAUGAAGGCUCGCAUUAAGUCCAUGCUCAAGCACUCGUAUGUUUUUUAGCCAUAUCUCCUUGCAGUUUCAGUAGUAGCGAUGGAUGAGUGUCCUUGACCGGUGCUCGGCUACAAAGUAUUAGAUUUUGUUAGCAUUGACGAAAAUUCAAUUGGAAGUAUGAAAAAUAAGGGGAACGAAGUGGGUAUACUUGUAUUCCGACGGGAUCCAUUUUCGAUUGGUGGAAAAGAUCGGUGUUGAGAUCUUGUGUAGGCGAGAGAUUCGGUAGAAGAGGUCGACGUUGAGGCCCUGUUUCCGUAAUUAUCGUUGCGACGAGUCACAAAUGUUGACGUCGAGGCCUGUGUAAAGCAGAAUUCGCUGCUGGUGAAGCCACGCGUUUCAGCCGAAAUGAGAGAGAGAGAGUGCUGUCGGUCGGAGGGACGAUUGGAGGAAAGUGGAAAUGGUAGGGGAGAGAGAGAUUUCUGUCGAUGGGAGAGGAAAUUGAAAAUGGUAGGUGCAUGUACACCAUCACAUGCGUUGUCAGAUAUGAGGCUGAAAAUGAUCGAAAAAUGAAUUCCAGGGGACAUUUAAUGGCUACCAAACGGCCCCUAAAUGUGUCCUAGUACUAAUGCAAUUGUAAAUCGCUACAUGCAAUGCAAUAUCUAAAGCAUAAUAAAUAAAAGGGUAAUAAAAUUGGGUUGCCUCCCAAUUAGCGCUCAUUUAUAGUUCUACCCCGACUUUGCAACAAUGUUAUAGAAUUUUGAAAAAAAAAACUUUUGAUUCCUUAGUUUGUUUUAGUUGACUUUGCUUCACUUUUCGUUUGUUCUCCAACCCUCCACCUUGACCUUUUUAUAGGAUCUAACUCACUACUUCAGCCUAAUUCAAACUUAACUAUGAAGACAUAUACCACGUCAUUGGAUUUAAUAAAAAAAAUCAAUUGUUGGGCAAUCAAUGAAGUCAUAAGAAUGUGACUUAAAUUCUAUCUUUAUUAAUUGUUGCUUUAUUGUUAGAUUCCUUUGUGGUUAAUUUGUAUGCUUUUCUUUAAUAGUUGAUAUCUCCUUGGUUGAAUGAUCAGCCCUCAAUCCAAUUAUUCUGGCAAUAACAAGUCAUUCUCAUCAACUUUUGCAAAUGUAUUAUUGUACUACUUUUAAAAUUCAUCCUAGAAGGGACAAUAUCCUAAAAUCAUGCUAUCAUUCAACUUGGCAAGUUUAUUAUAGUAUUUUGCAAUUCUUUGCUCACCCAAACACGUUCUCUAUCAACUUUUUAAAUUUUAGUAGGUAGAUAGCAUCAGGUAUGUCAUCUUCAUCCAACCUAACAAGUGCUUGUCUUCGACUUCUUAAAUAUUGUCUAAACCAACGAAAUUUUGACAAGUCAAAAUAAGUGCCCCAAUACAUGCACUGCCUAAUAUAUUCGUUACAAGUUAUAUCUCCUACGAGCAUGUCAUCUUCAUCAGAUUUGGCACGUCUUCAUUCUCGAUGUUUUAAAUAGAAGAUGCUGGACAAGUUUCCACAAUUAAUUUGGUCCAUAAAAAAUACACAAUUCUCAGUAAUAUGUAAUCCCACAAUUUUCACAGGUUGAAUUCAUUCGGAUCACGUGUACACCCUGUAUAUUGAGACAAUUUCCUAUAAGCAUGUCUUUGUCUUCCAUGACGAGAUUAACCACCGAAAAAGUUUACUACUUUUUGUUUCUCUCCGUUCCAUGUCAAUGAACCAAGAAAAACAAUUAAAGCAACUAAAAACAGAAAAGAAAAAUUCAACUAAAUCAAUAAUGAACUAAAAACUAACUUAAUUUUUGGCACAACGCUAAAAACUUAUUCGAUAAAAAUGUUUAUGUGUACGGUUGUUGACAAUAAUAGUUUAGGGAGUAAAAGUAUCGUUCUACGAUGAAUAAGCCUUAAAUUGAAGUGUACUAAUUUGCUAUUGAACUCGAAUGUAAUCGUAACAGAAUGUUCUUUGAGUCUUGUUUAUUUAUUACUAGAUUAUCUAAAGUUGUAUAAAAACUAUAUUGAAGAAGGAUGAGUUGAGACUUUGAAUCCAACUAUUGUUCUCCCAUUUUGACUCCCAACCUAUAUUAUUUAGUAUAAUUUAUGUAUCAUUUCUACCAGUAAUCCAAUAUUAUCCAACUACUCCUCUCAAGGUAAGCAAAACAUAUUAUUAAGUAAAAUCCAUUUAUAUCUGUCGCGGAAAUCCCUCAAGAAAUCUUAAUCCAGGCUCAAUUUCAUCAAUCAAAUGAACACCAACUAAGCAUUACUCGACUCACAACUCCCACUUGAUUGCCACAAGUCUUUACCCCACAAAGGAAACACUUAGUGAUUGGUUUGCAAGCCACAAAAGAAGAGAAAUAGAGUAGCAAUUGGAACCUCAAGGAAAAAGAACCAAGCCGGCCAUGAAACUCACGUUUUUUCUUUCUUUCUUACAAAAUCAACACACAAGAAAAUGGCUAGGGAUGAGUGUAUAUAUAAUGGGUUAGUUUAUCCUAAACAAUGGGCCAAAGGGUAAUUGGACCAACAAUCCAAAUAACCAAUAGAUCAUCUCAAUGUAAAGCCACAACUUAGGCCAUCCAAAAGUAUUGGGCCACGAGCAACAUUAACUCAAUUAAGUUGCUUCAAAUGGCCCCAAGUUGUCUUUGGUUGAGUUAUCACUAAGGUGUCGAUAUAACUUAUCCAACAUCGGUUUAACAUCAUAGCCCGGAUUUAGUGGGUAUCAAAAUUCAACAAAUCUCUACCUUGAUGCCAAUAAAUCUGUAAGCAAUUAAAACACAAAAUUUAUACUUACAUAAUCAAGAUUAUCAAUAAAAUUGGAUCAUAGAUCUUACCUCGCCUUUCCAACCCGAAACACAUACCAUAUCUGCUCCAUGUACUCACUGGGGCUAAGAUCAAUAACACCCAAGUAGAAGCAGAUAUUCAUAGUAAACAAUCAAGAUCAAAUAAACAUUCAAUGACAAUAUAUAUUAUAGGAUAACAUACAGAUCUUUUUAGAAACACGUUCACACAGAAUCACAGAUUAACACCAAGUUAAUCAAACACAAAGUCAAACACACAUGUGCAACAAAUGCAUAAAUGACCAACAAAAAUAUCUCACCACACUUAUCCUAUUUCAUUUCUUAUUGCUCACACCUCAAGAACACAUUUCUCCUAUCAUCGCCCACUAUGCUCACUAGACUGAUCACUCAACUCAUGUCCAACUGGUAAAUUAUAAUAGAUCCUAAGUUUUCGGGAUAAUCCUUUAUCAUCACAUCACUUCUCCCAACCUACGGGGAUAAUAGGUUUUCAUUUAACCGAAGUAAUAGAAGUGCAUUUUCCAUACUCCACCUGUACAGGGUCUCUUCAUAGAUAAAAGAUUUUAACAUUUAAUUACAUUUCCACUCAUGAUUCAAAGGUCACACUCCACAUUCCCCAUGCAUAUCACCAAUGCACCUUCAAGCAUCUAUACUCCACCUUACCAAUGGACACUCAACACACUACUAAUGCACCUCAAUCCCCCUAUGGAAAAUCAAUACCUUUCGGCGACCACAAAGGUAAAGGCUCAAUUUAAAGUUGACCCACGUACCACGAGUUUACUACAAUCACCAAUGACAAAAAAUUCACAAAGAAAAUGGCGAAGGUGACACUCAUAAAGAGAAUAGAGGAAAGGGUUGGUUACUUCACUAUACUCACAAAAAAGAAAGAAGAUAACCCUACCUGACUACCUCACACAAUCUCACAAACCACACAGGCUCACAAAGAUGAAGGAGAAAAUGGUUGUCCAUCUUUCUUCCCACUACGACACUCUCACACCACUCAUAGAGCAAAUGGAGUACGCGAUAAACUCAACCCACUAUGCAUGCAAAUAUAUUAUACAAAGUAAUAAGAUCACUCUAAUUCAUGCAAUUAGACACAUCAAACAUAUUAAAUAUAUUGAAUAUCAACAUUGCAAUAAAAUUAAGUGAUCACACACAUGCACAUGCAGUAACUAGGUUUACUCUCAAUAAACCUCACUAAGGUCACCACUCGACCCUAUAGCCAAUUCGCUUCACCUCUCUCAUUAUCUUUCCUUCUAUUAUCAUUUUUAGUACGGUCUAUUUCACUCUAUCUAAAUUUACUACAGUUAAAAUACAUUUUACUUUUUGCACUUGUCUUAAAUGUACACGUGCCAUCAAAAAAUGACCACAAGCAAAGUACAAACAUAAUUCACAUACGAUGAUCAAAUAAACUUUCCUAAGGUCACAUGCAAUUCUAACAGUAUAAAAAAAUUGGUAACAAAUUCACAAAGAAUUUAAGGUAAAUAAUUACUAGGUAUAACAACAGGCAUUAAUUACCCAUCCACGGUAUCCCCAAACCUAACGUCACCCCACACAAUGACUUCUAUGCGAAAAAUAAAUUAUUACCAUAAACAAUUGUUUUAACUGAAAUAAUAAAAGGCAAAGAACACGAUACUGAGUGGAUCACGUCUAAAGGUCUGUAAAUAUCGAGAGACGCGAAUUCACCACUUUAGGAUCGUCAUUAUUCGCCCUAAAGCUUCCAGCAAUCGCAGCAACACAAAAAAUAGCAUUCGGCACCCGAACAACCAAGGGCAAAAUCGUCCAACUUUUACCACAUUACCUAAAAUCGAAGUCCUACAAUAGCGUAGGGUCUACCACGUCACCUAGAGAAAACUGUCUGAAGAAGCCAUUGGCCAACUCUCCUCCACUCGCUCACACGCACCUAGCCGGAAUCCCCAUGCGCUGGUGUCGGAGGUCAUGCGCCACUCCUUCUAAAUCUUCUUGGUCUACACAUCACGCCAGUGGUCACCAUUCCUUAAAUCGAUCCAUGGUUUAGAUGAAAAACGUAAAAACAUGUCCAAAUUUUUAACAAUUUUUUCUGUCCAUAAUUCAGCCAAAUUUCAAGUCAAUUCCAACCAUUUUUGGUUGAAAAAAUCACAGAUUUCUCAACAACAUAAGUUUUGAUACCAUUUGUUGCAAAAAUUCCUCGAGAAAUCUUGAUCCGGACUCAGUUUCAUCAACUAAACGAACACCAAUCGAGCUUUACUCGACAUACAACUCCCACUUAGUUGCCACAAGUCUUCACCCCACAAAGGAGACACUUGGUGAUUGGUUUGCAAGCCACAAAGGAAGAGAAAUAGAGUAGCAAUUAGAACCUCAAGGAAGAAGAACCAAGUCGGCAAAGAAACUCACGUUUUUUUCUUUCUUUUUUACAAAACCAACACACAAGAAAAUGACUAGGGAUGAGUGUAUAUAUAAUGGGUUAGUUUAGGUUAACCAAUGCGGCAAAGGGUAAUUGGGGCCAACAAUCUAAAUAACCAAUAUAACAUCCAAAUGUAAAGUCACAACUUGGGCCAUCCAAAAGUGUUGGGCCACGAGCAACAUUAACUUAAUUAAGUUGCUUCAAAUGGUCCUAAGUUGUUGUCGGGUCAAGCUAUCACUAAGGUGUCGAUAUAACUUAUCCAACAUCGGUUUAACAUCAUCGUCCAGAUUUAUUGGGUAUCAAAACCCAACAAUAUCCCUAUCCUGAAUUUAUAGGCAAAGUAAUGCAUUCAUCUACACAAUUAGAGUUGUGAUUGCUCAAGUCACAAACUAUUAAUCCUAAAGUUUAUUGAACCUUAUAUUGAUAUCACAAUAUUCUAAACUUAAUCGAACCUCCUAGAAUUAAAAUAAGCAACUGGUUAUGUAAAUGGUGAUCUAGCAUUUCAAAUAAUUCAACAAGUAUACAAUAUCGAUCAACAAUAUAAAUUAACUAAGUAAGCGGACCUUGAAUUAAAAUAGUAAAAUAAUAAGCUUAAUCUUCAUCCCAGCACAAGAUUGUUUAGUCUAACAACUCUAUAAUAAAAAUAUAACAAAAGAAUUGAAAAUUUACCACCCGAAAUGUAUAGAACACAAGAAAUAAAUGUGAAACCAAUUCUUGCUUUGUCAUCAAUUUCAGCCUUGAAUAAUCAAUCUCUUGAUAUUAUUUGUCUUCAGUCCUUUGCUAGCCUUGCUCUCCAUGAUAUAUUGUGAAAAAUCUCAAAAUUGGAGGCUCAAAGUAGGUUUUACGAUUGGGCAAAUUGAUUUCCAAAAGACGGAUAAACUGAAAAGGAAACAAAAUCUUUUGCCCAAUUUUGUACCAUGCGGGUACACAGGGCUAGGAUAUUUCAACCUUCCAACUGCAACAUAUCUGCGCCAUACGAUUGGAGGGCACAACAUAUUUGUCUAUGUUUGCAGUUUGGUCCUUGACUUCAAUUUUGUAUCCAGCUUAUGUCCUUUAUAAUUGCAAAUAAGUUCCUUCAUCUUCUAAAUUGUAUUACAUCGAUCCUUAGUCUCAGAAUAAUACACCAAAUACAUCCUUUUUGCCCCAUUUUCAUUCUUUUUCUCCAAAAAGCUCGUCCAACGUUAAGUUUUACCUAAAUUGACAGUAUUUAAACGAGAUCACGCAAUAAUUCUCUAAAAUCACUCCCAAAUAUUCAUGCAAUGGCCUAUCACCCACCAAACAUACUCAUCUGUCGAUUAGAUUUAAUUUAGAUUUGUUGACAUGAUCCGCUGGUUUGGUUUCUUCAUAUGUGAUACUAUCUAGGAGUAACUAAUCUGAGGAGCAGUUCAAGCAAUGAUAUAUGGUUUUUUUUUUUUUUAAAUAAUCUAAUUUAUCACUUAGUUCAUGAUUGAUUGAGCUUAAAAUUAUAGGGCACUGUAAAACUAACUAGCUCUUGAUGAUGAGGCUGUCUUUAUUUCUUUUCUGUUCGAAAUGUUUGCCCUUUCAAGUGUAGGUUGGCUUGUUUGUAGUUUUAGGUACCAUUAAAAGGCACUAGCUAUUGCAGCACACAGCGAAUUUGUGCAAAUAAAGGAGUUGCUUUUAAAUAAUAUGUUAACGGAAAUUGUUAAUAAUGGUAAAUUAUUAUAAUAUUCAAGUUUCAUGAAUAAAGUACGUAUAAACAUGUAACCUGGGCUCUAUCAUUUCCUUCUUUUCCUGAUACAUACAACCUGAUCUGUGAUUGUGAAUCUCCUUAAAAAUCAUGAAUUUGACGCCAUUAGGUACCAGAAUUUUAUUUUAUUUCUGCAUGAAGAAAGACCCUGCAACACUAAGUAAAGCUAAACUCUUGCCUGACACCUGAAUUUUUACUACUCUGAGCAAGACAGAGAAAUCAGUCCUCUGUUUGGUGGUCUCGACAUUCCAUUCUCUUGAGUCUGCAAGUAGAAUUUUUUGCUUCUUUUUGUUUCUAAUAUAAUUUGAGGGUGGGGUGGGGGUAUCAAACUUCAUCUUCUCAUACUCCUUGCACCUGAAUGUUUUUAUCAAACUUCAUUUUCUAUCUUAAAGCUAAAAAUGGAUGCUGAUGAAUGUUUUCACUCUUUCAUUGUGUAGUUAUUUGGUGCUCCCAAGAUCUACAAGAAGAUUAAUGAAUCCGUUUACAGCUAUUUUAAGGAAACUCCAGAUGAUCAGUGGAUCAGAACAACUGAUUUUACUCCAUCAUGUAUUGGACAAUCUUCCGGCUUAUGUUUGCAGAUCUCGUAUGGCAUUAAGCUUCCAAAUUUCCCAGAUGAUUUUGCUCACUACGAGGAAAGUGAAAGCCAAUUCAGUUUGAAGACUGGUUCUCCCUUUUGUGACAAUUCAUCCCUAGUUCCCAUUCUGUGUCCUCCUGAUGGCAUUAAAUUGCCAUGUAAUGUAUUGUUUAAGAUUUGCAGUUUGGUACAACAUGGAUGUCUCCCAGGGCCGAACCUAGAUUCCAAUUUUUUUAGGUUGGUUGAUCCACAGAGAAUAGACAUUAGGUUUAUAGAUUUUGCUCUAGAGAAACUUUACAAUUUAAAGGAAUGCUGCUAUGAUCCUGUGAGCUGGCUCGAGGAGCACUAUGACAAAUACCGCAAGAUGGGAUGGCUACCAAAAUCACCAGCUAUUAAUUUAGGUGAUGGACUGGUAUAUGUACGCAAGGUUCAAGUAACUCCAAGCAAAGUGUAUUUCUCCGGUCCAGAAGUGAGUAUGUCAAACCGUGUGUUACGGCAUUAUCACAAAGACAUUGAUAAUUUUCUUCGUGUUUCUUUUGUGGAUGAAGAUUGGGAUAAAAUGUAUUCUACUGAACUAUCCCCCAAGGUAGUUUCUGGGAAUGAGGAUGGAAGAACAGAGAUUUAUGAAAGGAUAUUGUCAACACUUAGAAAUGGCAUUGUUAUUGGCGACAAGAAAUUUGAUUUUCUUGCAUUUUCCUCAAGUCAGUUGAAGGAUAAUUCUGCUUGGAUGUUUGCUUCAACAGCUACAGAUAAUGCUGAUGGUAUCCGUAAGUGGAUGGGUGAUUUUUGUUCCAUUAGAAAUGUAGCAAAAUAUGCUGCCAGACUUGGUCAAUCUUUUGGAUCCUCUAUAGAAACUUUAAGUAUUGAUGAGGAUGAGAUUGAAUUUAUUCCCGAUAUAGAGGCACUAACAGGGGGAACCUUUUCUGAUGGAAUUGGGAAGAUAUCUGCUGAGUUUGCUCGGAGUGUUGCCAUAAAAUGUGGACUUAAAAAUUCUUCUCCUUCAGCCUUUCAGAUCAGGUAUGGUGGCUACAAAGGUGUUGUGGCUGUUGAUCCCUCUUCACGAAGGAAGUUGUCAUUGAGAUCGAGCAUGUUGAAGUAUCAGUCAGACAAUACAAAAUUAGAUGUUUUGGCAUGGAGUAAAUAUCAACCUUGUUUUCUGAAUCGACAGAUUAUCUCUCUUUUAUCUACUCUUGGAGUCGAGGAUCAUGUCUUUGAGAAGAAACAAAAAGAAGCGGUAGCUCAGCUGGAUACUAUUUUAGUUGAUCCAUUGAGGGCAGAGGAGGCGUUGGAUUUGAUGUCUCCAGGAGAAAAUACGAACAUUCUGAAGGAAAUGCUGAAGUGUGGUUAUCUGCCUGACGGUGAACCAUUUCUCUCUAUGAUGCUACAAACUUUUCGCGCAUCAAAAUUGCUAGAUUUGAGGGUUAAAUCCAGAAUAUUUAUUCCACAAGCUAGACAAAUGAUGGGAUGCCUGGAUGAAACCGGAAGUUUAGAAUAUGGCCAGGUGUUUGUUCAGUUUUCUGGUGCUGGUCGUCGACGAUUCUGUGUGGAUUUCCUUAAAAUUUAUGACAAUACAUCAGAUGACUAUAAUUACAUUGUUAAGGGAAUGGUUGUUGUUGCUAAAAACCCGUGCUUGCACCCUGGUGAUGUCCGUAGGUUAGAGGCUGUUGAUGUGCCAGCAUUAUACCACAUGGUGGACUGUGUGGUUUUCCCUCAGAAAGGACAAAGGUAAAACUGACUUCUUGAAUGCUUCUAAAGUAAUCUUAUCUGCAAAAACUUAAUGGGACUAUUGCAUUCAGGUAAUUAUUGUUUGUGUCAACAGUGCAACAGUGGGUCGAGAAUUACUCUAAAUCUGUAGAACAAACAUGAAGCAGUGCCCCAAUGUGGAUUUUUUAUGACUUGAAAAUUGUGCUAUUCAAAAAAUGGCCUUUUUAGAAUAAACAAAAAUAGCAUAUUUUAUUUAAAAAUUUUAAUCAUGUUCUAUAAGGUUUCGGUUGUUCUAAUAACAGACCUCACCCAAAUGAAUGUUCCGGGAGUGAUUUGGAUGGAGACAUUUACUUCGUUUGUUGGGACCCUGACUUGAUUCCACCAGAGCAAUGCUCGCCUAUGGAUUAUACGCCAGCUCCAAGCACAAAGCAAGAUCAUGAUGUGACAGUUGAGGUACUGUGGCUUAGAACUUGCAUUUGAAACCAUGAUGUUUUCCACUUUUGUUAUUUAUAAUUUAUAAUGGCCAAAAGAUGAGGAUCCUUCUUAAAGAGACAAAAAAUGUCAUCAGAUUAUUGUCAAGGUUACUUAUUAUUAACAUGGUAUCUACAGAAAUCAUAUGCUAUAUCCACUUUUGUUGUUAUGUUCUUGGCGUGAACUUUCUAUCGUGGUUUUCUUUAUGUUGGUCUCCUCCUAGUUUUGGGAAUUAUUGCUAAAAGACCAUACUUCCUUGAGUUCCACCUUUUACUUUCUAGGUUCUCUGUCUCCCAUCUCAUUUCUUAACUGAGAAUUUGAUUAUAGAUUAUAAACAUCCUUUAAUACCUAUCAUGGUGUAAAAGAAUUAACCCUUCCCAUAUCCCAAGAACAUGGAACUUAAAUUUGUAGUAGUGUGAUUUGAUCAUAUUUUGUGUAAGUUAUUUGUUAUUAAUAAAUACGUAUAGCGAGACAAUUAAAAGUAGGAAAAUUAUUUGUUAUUUAGCAGAUGAUGGCAUCUAUGAAGCAUGAACCCGGUUUGAUUUAACAGAUUUAUAUAGUUUCUAUUAUUUGAUUAGUGUUAUUCUUCCAUUUCGAUGAAACUCGUGAAGUCUUGAAACCUAUACAACCGCAUGUUCAAGUCAAGAAGCUAUAUCAUAAAAUGAGUUAAGUUGAAGUUAGCAGUUAAGAUUUCUUAUAUUGGAAUGAAUGAACAUUCUUAUAGCUUUCACAUGAUUUGAGUCGGCAUUGCACUCCUCUUUGUGAUCUCAUACACGUUUACAUGUCAUGUUAUUGCAGAUUUACAUGUGCAAGGCUUUGCAAUCUGAAUAUCAUUGUGAUUUCAACAGAAGUUAGUAUUUAUUUUAUACUUUUCCUUUGAUACAGGAAGUUGAGGAGUACUUCACCAACUAUAUUGUGAACGAUAGUUUAGGUAUCAUUGCAAAUGCACACACCGUCUUUGCUGAUAAAGAACCAAGCAAGGCAUUGAGUGAGCCUUGUAUAGAGUUGUCAAAACUGUUCUCCAUUGCUGUCGACUUCUCAAAAACUGGUGUUCCUGCAGUAAUACCACCUCAUUUACGUGUGAAAAAAUAUCCAGAUUUCAUGGAAAAGCCCGACAAGAAAACCUAUGAAUCGAAAAGUGUGAUCGGAAAGCUUUUUAGAGACGUGAUAAGCAUUGCCCCCGACACGGCUCCUAUUCAAUCCUUUACCGACAAAGUGGCUAGGAAGUCAUAUGAUCCCGACAUGGAAGUGGAUGGGUUUGAAGAUUACAUUGACGAAGCAUUUCAUUACAAAACUGAGUACGAUUACAAGUUGGGUAAUCUGAUGGAUUAUUAUGGCAUAAAAACAGAGGCUGAAAUACUGAGUGGUGGUAUUAUGAAGACGUCAAAGAGUUUUGAUCGAAGACGAGAUGCAGACACCAUUGGUGCAGCUGUGAGGUCAUUGAGGAGCGAAGCUAGGAAAAUGUUCAAGAAAGGAAGCGAAUCAGAUGAUGUGUAUGCAAAAGCAUCAGCUUGGUAUCACGUCACUUAUCAUCAUGACUAUUGGGAUUGCUACAAUGAGGGACUGAAUCGGGAUCAUUAUAUCAGUUUCCCAUGGUGCGUAUACGACAAGCUAGUCCAGAUCAAGAAGGACAAGUCCAACCUUAGAAGGUCUCUGCAAAUUUCUUCACUUGAAAGGAAAUUCAAGUUUGGUAUGGGUUUCACCUGAGAAAUCAUCAUUUCUAGCCAGUUGUUAUAUGCCUCGAGUGUUUAAUAUAUAAACUGUAAACUGAUUACAAAGACUUCUGUUUGUGUCUAACUGCAGCUAGUACAGCUGCAAAAAACGAGCCAAACGUGCUUGGUAUGAACUUGUGUUUUGUGUAAAAAUUUAAGUAUGCUUGUACCCAAUAUUUUAUCCUAGUUUCAUAAUGAAAUGAUUCUAAACCAAAU
rnacentral:lncRNA from 1 species